CGGUGGGUAACCUGCCUGUAAGACUGGGAUAACUCCGGGAAACCGGGGCUAAUACCGGAUGGUUGUUUGAACCGCAUGGUUCAGACAUAAAAGGUGGCUUCGGCUACCACUUACAGAUGGACCCGCGGCGCAUUAGCUAGUUGGUGAGGUAACGGCUCACCAAGGCGACGAUGCGUAGCCGACCUGAGAGGGUGAUCGGCCACACUGGGACUGAGACACGGCCCAGACUCCUACGGGAGGCAGCAGUAGGGAAUCUUCCGCAAUGGACGAAAGUCUGACGGAGCAACGCCGCGUGAGUGAUGAAGGUUUUCGGAUCGUAAAGCUCUGUUGUUAGGGAAGAACAAGUGCCGUUCAAAUAGGGCGGCACCUUGACGGUACCUAACCAGAAAGCCACGGCUAACUACGUGCCAGCAGCCGCGGUAAUACGUAGGUGGCAAGCGUUGUCCGGAAUUAUUGGGCGUAAAGGGCUCGCAGGCGGUUUCUUAAGUCUGAUGUGAAAGCCCCCGGCUCAACCGGGGAGGGUCAUUGGAAACUGGGGAACUUGAGUGCAGAAGAGGAGAGUGGAAUUCCACGUGUAGCGGUGAAAUGCGUAGAGAUGUGGAGGAACACCAGUGGCGAAGGCGACUCUCUGGUCUGUAACUGACGCUGAGGAGCGAAAGCGUGGGGGAGCGAACAGGAUUAGAUACCCUGGUAGUCCACGCCGUAAACGAUGAGUGCUAAGUGUUUAGGGGGUUUUCCCGCCCCUUAGUGCUGCAGCUAAACGCAUUUAAGCACUCCGCCCUGGGGAGUACGGGUCGCAAGAACUGAAAACUUCAAAAGGAAUUUGACGGGGGGGCCCGCCACAAA
rnacentral:rRNA from 1 species